AGAUGUCAAAGUUGAAUUAAGUUGGAAUUAAUCUAUUCUUGCCCUUAUCUCUGUACAGUCACAAUAACAGAUUAAAACAUUAAAAUUACAUUACAGUGACAUCAGGUUUCAUUCACCCAGUUCAAUGUCCAGGAUGGCUUUUGUGCUCAGAUUCCACAACCCUUAUAUUGUCCUUUAUAUUACAGGUCCAUAUCUUCCAGCAACACUAGGCCCUCUCACAUUCACCUCAGAGCUAAACUCCAAAACACUGACACUUUUUUAUUAAUUAGAUCCGAAGAUCACAC